CAGCAGUGGGGAAUUUUGGACAAUGGGCGAAAGCCUGAUCCAGCAAUGCCGCGUGAGUGAAGAAGGCCUUCGGGUUGUAAAGCUCUUUUGUCAGGGAAGAAACGGUUUGGGCUAAUACCCUGAGCUAAUGACGGUACCUGAAGAAUAAGCACCGGCUAACUACGUGCCAGCAGCCGCGGUAAUACGUAGGGUGCAAGCGUUAAUCGGAAUUACUGGGCGUAAAGCGUGCGCAGGCGGUUUUGUAAGUCUGACGUGAAAUCCCCGGGCUCAACCUGGGAAUUGCGUUGGAGACUGCAAGGCUAGAAUCUGGCAGAGGGGGGUAGAAUUCCACGUGUAGCAGUGAAAUGCGUAGAGAUGUGGAGGAACACCGAUGGCGAAGGCAGCCCCCUGGGUCAAGAUUGACGCUCAUGCACGAAAGCGUGGGGAGCAAACAGGAUUAGAUACCCUGGUAGUCCACGCCCUAAACGAUGUCUACUAGUUGUCGGGUUUUAAUUAACUUGGUAACGCAGCUAACGCGUGAAGUAGA
rnacentral:rRNA from 1 species